CUCCCAGACGAAACCAAUUGUCAAUCCGUUGGAUCUACCACUCCUACUCCCAUGACUAGGAAGGGUAAAGGGGUGAUGACAAUACCAACACCGGUUAAGCUCAAAGAAACAAUCAGAAAGUACAUCCCUACUUAUGAAGGUUCUGAUUCAGAUGGUUCUGUGGGUAGCGCUCCAGGUGAAAGACAAGAAACUACUAAGGGGAACGUCGACUACAUGGCCAUGCAUUAGCGGCAGAAGAUUUCGUGAAUUAUUGAAUAAAACCGGAAGCUUUAUGAACUCCUUUAAGUUUUUUUUCCUGUAAUGUAUGUUUUUAGACUUGGCAUACAUGUUUGUUCUUAAACAGAUUCCGCAAACAAAGUUUCCUGUGCUAUGCACGCCUUAAAUUUUGUGUGGCCGGCUUAUGGUACAAGCUCUUAUCACGUU